CAGAGACACAGAGACACGGAGACACAGAGACACAGAGACACAGAGACACAGAGACACAGGUAGACAAGCAGGAACGAGUUCAUGGACCUGAGACACGGAGACACAGAGACACAGAGACACAGGUAGACAAGCAGGAACGAGUUCAUGGACCUGAGACACAGAGACACACAGAC